ACACUCCGUAUUAGCUUUAUAAACUCUCCUCUCGGCAGAGUUGUCCAACUUUGACUUAAUGGCCUGGGAGCAGUAUGGAGCCCCAGUGGGUUAGGCCCCAUUUCUCCUACCACCCCUAGUCCUCUGGUGGGACUAGGGUGAUGGCUUCUGUCCAUAGCAUUGUUCUAACCAGAUGAGAUGCUCUGGGUCAGCUCAGGAGGGCUGUGUUUCCCGACAGAGAAUGGAAAACAAAUAGCCGCCUUCCUCCCCUGAUACGCAGCUGUCAUGAACGCAAGUGCUUGAUCCUGGAUAAGUUUGAAAGCUACGACGAUGAAAUUCAGCUCACCCAAAGAGCCCUGUCUCUGCUGGAAGAAAACAAGUUCUGGGCUGGGGUGGUAUUCCCUGACAUGUAUUCCUGGACCAGCUCCCUGCCACCUCACGUGAAGUAUAAGAUCCGGAUGGACAUAGAUGUAGUGGAGAAAACCAAUAAGAUCAAAGACAGGUACUGGGAU